rnacentral:lncRNA from 1 species
GUUAAGACAAGAAAAGGAUUUCCAGCAUCACAGCAAUAUAGCAAUUGCUAAGUGUUGUUCUCAAGAUACUUGACGACAUUUUUUGAUGAGAGACAAAAGUUGGAAGGAUUGCUACAUUUUAAACUUUGACUGCCAAUACAACAGUAAUAACCUUCAGUUCUUCAACAGAGUACAGAAAGAGCAAUAUAAUCACAAUUCAAGAAUCUGUAAUAUACAAG